AUGACGGCCUUGGUCUCCUUCUUGGCCGGCGAGGGCCAUUGGUGGCUCACCGGGGUGUAUGGGCCUCAAGAUGAUGACGCCAAGCUUGAGUUCCUUGCCGAGUUACACGACGUGCGCGAGUCCCGCGUCGGCCCAUGGCUUAUUGGUGGAGAUUUCAACAUGAUCACCUCGGCCUCGGAGAAGAACAACUCUAACAUCAACCGUCGCUCGAUGAGCAGAUUUAGGCGCUUCAUCGCCGAUGAGGAGCUUCGAGAUCUCUAUAUGCACGGCCGACGAUAUACUUGGUCCAACGAGCGCGACGCCCCUACUCUGGUGUGUAAUGACCGCAUUCUUUGCACCUCCGGUUGGGAGAUCGCCCACCCGCACUGCCUACUCCGCUGCCUCUCCUCCGCGGCCUCCAAUCACUGCCCGCUCCUUGUCGACUGCGUGGCCCGCCCUCCGGGAGCACGACGUUUCCACUUUGAGAGAUUUUGGCCAAAAUUGGAGGGUUUUCACCAGGUGGUU
rnacentral:rRNA from 1 species